rnacentral:rRNA from 1 species
GAUGAACGCUGGCGGCGUGCCUAACACAUGUAAGUCGAACGAUGAAACUCGCUUUUAGUGAGUGGAUUAGUGGCGAACGGGUGAGUAACACGUAGGUGACCUGCCCCAGAGAAGAGAAUAACCAUGCGAAAGCGUGGCUAAUACUCUAUACGGUCGGUUAUUCGUUUAGCCGAUCAAAGCUCCGGCGCUCUGGGAGGGGCCUGCGGCCCAUCAGCUAGUUGGUAGGGUAAUGGCCUACCAAGGCUAUGACGGGUAGCUGGUCUGAGAGGACGAUCAGCCACAAUGGGACUGAAACACGGCCCAUACUCCUACGGGAGGCAGCAGUGAGGAAUAUUGGACAAUCGACGAAAGUCGGAUCCAGCAACGCCGCGUGGAUGAUGAAGGCCUUCGGGUUGUAAAAUCCUUUUAAGAGGGAAGAGGAAGGACGGUACCUCUUGAAUAAGUCUCGGCUAACUACGUG